rnacentral:rRNA from 1 species
UCGAGAAUCUUCGGCAAUGCGCGAAAGCGUGACCGAGCAAUGCCGCGUGCAGGAUGAAGGCCUUCGGGUUGUAAACUGCUGUCAUCCGGGAUGAAUAAAUGACAGUACCGGGAGAGGAAGUCACGGCUAACUACGUGCCAGCAGCCGCGGUAAUACGUAGGUGACGAGCGUUGUUCGGAUUUAUUGGGCGUAAAGGGUCCGCAGGGGGUUAAGUAAGUCUGAUGUGAAAUCCGGCAGCUCAACUGCAGAACUGCAUUGGAAACUACUUGACUAGAGCAUC